GCCUCCGUGGAUCAACGGUAGAUCGCCUCAGAUUUAUUCGACUGGCUAGGUGUUUCUUGAGGAGAGGUGAGUUCGACUCCCACCGGAGGCU